rnacentral:rRNA from 1 species
AGCGAACGCUGGCGGCAGGCUUAACACAUGCAAGUCGAACGCAUCCUUCGGGGUGAGUGGCAGACGGGUGAGUAACACGUGGGAACGUACCCUUCGAUCUGGGAUAACUUCGGGAAACUGGAGCUAAUACCGGAUACGCCCUUUUGGGGAAAGGUUUACUGUCGAAGGAUCGGCCCGCGUCUGAUUAGCUAGUUGGUGGGGUAACGGCCUACCAAGGCGACGAUCAGUAGCUGGUCUGAGAGGAUGAUCAGCCACACUGGGGCUGAGACACGGCCCAGACUCCUACGGGAGGCAGCAGUGGGGAAUAUUGGACAAUGGGCGCAAGCCUGAUCCAGCCAUGCCGCGUGAGUGAUGAAGGCCUUAGGGUUGUAAAGCUCUUUUGUCCGGGACGAUAAUGACGGUACCGGAAGAAUAAGCCCCGGCUAACUUCGUG